rnacentral:lncRNA from 1 species
AGUGUGUGUGACCCCAUAGGUUCUACUCUGACUGGUAGUGAGAUAUAUUGUGAUCUCUAUCACAAUAUCAUUGAAAACUCCUUUCAAUGGGUCGGAACGAUUCCAACUCUACUCAUUAGGAUUUAUCGAUCAUCAAGAUAAUCCCUAUGAGUCCCACCAUCCACCAGUGACACCUAGCAGCAUGUAGUGGCUACCCAGCAG